AGGGUGGGCAUGAUAUCAAAAUAAACCUGACCAAGGAGAAAGAGCUUCUUAACCAUUGGCUGAGAUGGCUGAUAAGACCAGGAGAGCUCCACAGCUACUAGCUGAGAAUACUGAUUGAAGAGAUCUGUAACCUUGACUGCAGAGGAAAGACUUAUUAAUCAUAGCACCUCUAUUAGAUGGUAGACUGAUCAAUGGGUGGCUUGGAGGAUUGUAAGUGAGCUAAAGAAAGAUACUGAGAAAGCAGGCUGGCAGAGCAAAUGGUGCUUGCUAGGGAAUCUCUUCUCUGUAGGGUAGAAGCACAUUAACUAUUCUACUCCUGCCCCCAGUGAAUGGUGGAAGUAGCUAAAAGAGCUGGUGAAAGAGCUGCAGAGAUCCUAUCCAUAAUGUAUGCUGUAGAGAGUGUUAAGAGAGCCUGAAAACAGCCAGAGUUGAUAGUUAGCUGGAGUACAGGACGGCACCUAGCAGGGAGAAGUCUCUGAAGAAGAGUGCAUGGUGAGGAGCAGAUCCAGGUGGAGAAAAGCAGUAAUAAUAAUAGAAGACUUCAGCAGAUUUGCAGUUCGGAAGGUCACUCAACCCCUGUUUGUUUUCCCAUUGAUUUAAUGGGCCUGAGGGGGCAGGGAAUAUGGUACUAGAUGACCUUGUUGCAGAACUUCUUAUGGCAAUCCUGUGAGGUUCUCAUUUUCUGUAAAGACCGAAGAGGCUAUAUGAUAAGCAUAUUUUCCAAAUUAGGUAGCGAUUUAUCCCGCCUUUGUUUUAAUGAUUGAAAUGAAUGAUGUCGUGUGGCUCGCGGCUGCCACUGCAUUCA